AUUCUGCCUCCUAGGUAAGCGAAACGAUCAGUAUCGCAACCCAUGACUAAAUAACGAAUCCUUGACAUGAAUCACCAAGGAAUCAAAAUGAAAAAGAGCACAUGUGCCAUCACCAUCCUAUUUAUGAUGCAUGCAAUGUUGGCAUUGUGGCUCUUUUUGUCAUGAAAAACCAAAAUGACUCUCAGUAAUUGAUAUCUUAGGUCUCGCAUCAAUGAAGAUCAUAGUGAAAUGCAAUACUUAGUGUAAAUUGUAAAAUCUCAUGAAAUAUCUAUUCUUUGAAUGCAGGUUGUGCCCUAGGCCCUUAGGUCAUGGGCACACCUGCCUAGGUGUCAUGCACCAUCGCCCCCUCUAACUCUCUACCCAUCAGGCUCCUGGUGAUGGAGGUAAAAGAUGGCCUCCCAUGAUCUCAUUGAUCAUGGUUGGCUUAAAAAUGAUUCUUCGACAAUGAUAGUGCCAUGAACACCUGUGGUAAAGCUCUCAAUGUACCUUGUCUUUGGUGAUGCACAUUCAUUGUCCAUCCACACCCCAUCAAACCCCUCAUACACUUGGUUAAUGCUUGCAUCAUGACCCUAGAUCAUGAAAGAUUAGUCGUUAAGUUUAAGCAUAUCAAUAAGCAAAGGAAAAAAAACUUGCCAAGAUUCCCUAAUAAUGGUGAACAAACCAGGAAUAGCCUAGCUUGAGAAUAGAGCACCCCCAGAGUCUAAAUUGUAGUCUGGAGAAGCAUCCUCAGUGAUGGAUGAAAUCCCAAGUCCCCUAGAAAGGUGCAUCGAAGAAAGUGGAAGCCCUAUUAUGCAUGGAUCCUAUCGUACCACAAGGCAUUACCUACGAGUUGGGUUGUUUGGGAAUGCAGCCCCCAAUUGGGUGAUAAAUUCUAUCCAACGCUAAAUAUAAGUGAGAGACCGAUAAUUAACAAAUACUGCAAGGGAAACUUAAAAAGGACUUUGAAAAAAAAGUCAAAAAGUGCUUGAAAUUGUUAAGAGGGAAAUGGAUGAGGGCUAGUAAUAUGCCCCAGUCAGAUGUGGAAAGGCAACAGCUAGUCUAUCGAUUAGCUUAGGGCAUGGAUCAACAUAGGUCAUGAUGGUAGCCUAAGCUUAGGCUUUCAAUAUGCCCAACUACAUGCUAAUGUAGAACCCAUAAAGGGUGUUGGUCAAUUAAGAUAGAAGGACAUUAGUUAUGGAAGUUGAAAUCCACUAAGAAGUGUGUAACAACUCGCUAAAUGAACUAGCCCUAAAAAUGGAUGGUGCUUAAGUGCACAACCUAUACCUGGCCAUUAGGAAAAGAGUUAGGCCUCGAUGAAUAGGAGCAACCAUCAAAAUAGAUCUUGUUAGUAAUAAAAAAUAUUCAAAGAGAACUUUGAAGGCUGAAGAGGGGAAAGGUUCCAUGUGAAUGGCACUUGCACAUGGAUUAGUUGACCCAAAGAGAUGGGGAAGCCCAACAAAUAGUGCAUCCAGUGCAAGCUUCAAAAGGGAAUCAAAUUAAAAUUCCUAUACCAAGACACGAUGGCUGUUGGCAAUGUUAAGGAGUUCAGAGACAUUGUUGAAAGCCUCAAUAAGAGUUGUCAUUUCCAUUUAAUGAACUACCCACCCUAGAAAUGGCUCAACCAAAGGUAGGGUCCCAUGGCUAGAAUAGGAUCGCAUGUGUGUGGUUCUGGUGCACCCAGUGGCCCUUGAAAAUUCAAAGGACUAAGUGCCAUCCACACUUAAUUAUACUCUUAACCGCAUUAGGUCUCCAAGGUGAAUAGCCUCUGGUCAAUGGAACAAUGUAGCAAGCAAAUUCAAAAAAAUGGAUCUGUAACCUCAGGAAAAGGGUUAGUUUUGAGGGCUAGGCUCGAAGGCCUAGUCCCCCCUCAGCUAUCGAUGACAACUCAAGCUACUCCCAUGGUGAUAAUGGGUUGCCACGUGCCAAUUAGGGGAUGGACUAGGAACGUCUCCUUUGGGGGCUUUCCCUGGGCGAUAAAUAGUUGACUCAAAAUUAGUACAAAUAAGGGGAAUUUGAUUGUUUAAUUAAAACAAAGCAUUAUGAUGGUCCCUACAAUUGCUCACACAUUGUGAUUUCUGCCUAGUGCUUUGAAUGUCAAAGUGAAAAAAUCCAACUAAGCGCUAUAAAUGGUAAGAGUAACUGUAAAUCUCUUAAGGUAGCCAAAUGCCUCAUCAUCUAAUUAGUGACAUACAUGAAUGGAUUAAUGAGAUUCCCACUAUCCCUAUAUACUAUCUAGUGAAACCAAAACCAAGGGAAUGGGCUUGGUAGAAUUAAUAAGGAAAAAGACCCUAUUAAGCUUGACUCUAGUUUAACUUUGUGAAAAGACUUUAGAGGUGUAGGAUAAGUGGGAGCCCUCGGGCGAAAUUGAAAUACCAUUACUUUUAACAUUAUUUUACUUAUUCUGUGAAUCAAAAGCAGGGCACAACCCCUUCUUUUAGACCCAAGGUUGGCCUCAAUUAGUCGAUCUAAGAGGAAGACAUUGUUAGGUAGGGAGUUUGGCUAGGGUGACACAUCUAUUAAAAGAUAAUGUAGGUGUCCUAAGAUAAGCUCAACAAGAAUAGAAAUCUCAUGUGGAAUAAAAGAGUAAAAGCUCAUUUGAUUAUGAUUUCUAGUACGAAUACAAAUUGUGAAAGCAUGGCCCAUUGAUCCUUUAGAUUUUUUGAAUUUAAAGUUAAAGGUGUCAAAAAAGUUAUCAUAGUGAUAAUUGGUUUGUGGCAGGCAAGCAUUCAUAGCAACGUUGCUUUUUGAUCUUUCGAUGUCAGCUUUUCCUAUCAUUGUGAAGUAAAAUUCACCAAGAGUUGGAUUAUUCACCCACCAAUAGGGAAUUUGAGCUGGGUUUAGACUAUCAUGAGAUAGGUUAGUUUUACCCUACCGGUGGUAGCAUCAUAACACUAAUUCAACCUAGUAAGAGAGGAAUCGUUGAUUCGCACAAUUGCUCAUUGCACUUGGUUGGAAAGCUAGUGGCACGAAGCUAUUGUGCACUAGAUUAUGAUUGAAUGCCUCUAAGUCAAAAUCCAGGCUAGAAGCGAUGCACUCACCUAUCUCUCGAUUGUCAAUCCAUAGUAAGGGUCCAUCACCCUUAAGGGCAUGUGUCAUCGGUGCAACCCCUAAGGCAAACAAGCCACACAGGCCUCCUUAAAGCUUAAUUGCCAUUAAG
rnacentral:rRNA from 1 species